UGAAUACUCCCUCCGUCCGGAAAUACUUGUCAUAGAAAUAUAUGUAUCUAGACUUAUUUUAGUUAUAGAUACAUUCAUUUUGUACAUUUCUAGGACAAGUAUUUCCGGACGGAGAGAGUAGUAA
rnacentral:pre_miRNA from 1 species